rnacentral:rRNA from 1 species
CCGGAUAAUAUUGAUUGAUUUUCGGAUCUUUCGAUCAAAGGGAGGCCUCUACAUGUAAGCUUCUGCUUGAGGAUGAGCUCGCGUACCAUUAGCUUGUUGGUGGGGUAAUGGCCUACCAAGGCUACGAUGGUUAGCUGGUCUGAGAGGAUGAUCAGCCACACUGGAACUGACACACGGUCCAGACUCCUACGGGAGGCAGCAGUGAGGAAUUUUGCGCAAUGGGGGAAACCCUGACGCAGCAACGCCGCGUGAGUGAUGAAGGCUUUCGGGUCGUAAAGCUCUGUCAAGUGGGAAGAAAAUACAAAUUGAUAAUACCAUUUUGUACUGACGGUACCACUGAAGGAAGCACCGGCUAACUCCGUGCCAGCAGCCGCGGUAAUACGGGGGGUGCAAGCGUUAUUCGGAUUUACUGGGCGUAAAGGGCGCGCAGGCGGUCUUUUAAGUCAGAUGUGAAAGCCCGGGGCUUAACCCCGGAAGUGCAUCUGAAACUGGGAGACUUGAGUAUGGGAGCGGGAAGUGGAAUUCCUGGUGUAGCGGUGAAAUGCGUAGAUAUCAGGAGGAACAUCUGUGGCGAAGGCGACUUCCUGGAUCAAUACUGACGCUGAGGCGCGAAGGCGUGGGGAGCAAACAGGAUUAGAUACCCUGGUAGUCCACGCAGUAAACGGUGAUCACUAGGUGUAGCGGGUAUUGACCC